rnacentral:rRNA from 1 species
GAGUUUGAUCCUGGCUCAAGAAAACGCUGGCGGCGCACAUAAGACAUGCAAGUCGAACGGACUUAACCAUUAGUUUACUAUUGGAGCGGUUAGUGGCGGACUGGUGAGUAACACGUAAGCAACCUGCCUAUCAGAGGGGAACAACAGUUAGAAAUGACUGCUAAUACCGCAUAUGCCUUGAGUAUCACAUGGUACAAAAGGGAAAGGAGCGAUCCGCUGAUAGAUGGGCUUGCGUCUGAUUAGAUAGUUGGUGGGGUAACGGCCUACCAAGUCGACGAUCAGUAGCCGGACUGAGAGGUUGAACGGCCACAUUGGGACUGAGAUACGGCCCAGACUCCUACGGGAGGCAGCAGUCGGGAAUAUUGCGCAAUGGAGGAAACUCUGACGCAGUGACGCCGCGUGCAGGAAGAAGGUUUUCGGAUUGUAAACUGCUUUAGACAGGGAAGAAACAAGAUAGUACCUGUAGAAUAAGCUCCGGCUAACUACGUGCCAGCAGCCGCGGUAAUACGUANGGAGCAAGCGUUGUCCGGAUUUAUUGGGCGUAAAGCGAGUGCAGGCGGGUUCAAUAGUCUGAUGUGAAAGCCUUCNGCUCAACCGGAGAAUGCAUCAAAAACUGUUGAACUUGAAUGCAAAAGAGAAAAUGGAACUCCUGUGUACCGUGGGAUGCGUAAAAAAAUGAAAAACCCCGUUGGCAAGGGCG